rnacentral:rRNA from 1 species
UACAGAGGGCUCAAGCGUUGUUCGGAUUCAUUGGGCGUAAAGGGUGCGUAGGUGGCGGGGUAAGUCAGGUGUGAAAUCUCGGAGCUCAACUCCGAAACUGCACUUGAUACUGCCUUGCUUGAGUACUGGAGAGGAGAUUGGAAUUUACGGUGUAGCAGUGAAAUGCGUAGAUAUCGUAAGGAAGACCAGUGGCGAAGGCGAAUCUCUGGACAGUUACUGACACUGAGGCACGAAGGCCAGGGGAGCAAACGGG